rnacentral:misc_RNA from 1 species
UGGGCUUGACAUGCACGUGGUAAGACCUGGAAACAGGAAUGACCCGCAAGGGAGCGUGCACAGAUGCUGCACGGCUGUCGUCAGCUCGUGCCGUGAGGUGUUGGGUUAAGUCCCGCAACGAGCGCAACCCCUGCUGCCAGUUAUCAUGUCUGGCGGGACCGCCGGGUCCAACCCGGAGGAAGGUGGGGAUGACGUAACACGCAAUAACA